CCGAGUUUACACUCCAUAACCCUUAUGUGAACCGUACCUAUCGUUGCUUCGGCGGGAACGCCCCGGCGCCUCGAGCCCGGACCCAGGCGCCCGCCGGAGGCCCCAAACUCUUGUGUUUUCCAGCAGUAUUCUCUGAGUGGCAUAACGCAAAAAAUAAAUCA
rnacentral:misc_RNA from 1 species